rnacentral:lncRNA from 1 species
CAACUUCAAGGUGAGUCCUCUUUCCAAUGAGACAGCUGUUCCAAAACUCCUUCCACACAGAAAUCCUGAAGCCACCACUGGACCUUAACUGUGUUAACACUGCAGUGAAAGGAAGCCCAAAGCACAUUCCAAAAUACUAUGGAUGGGGCCAGGAUCACUGCUCCAUGAGUGGUUGGUCAGGGUAAUUGCUCAUGUGUAGCAUAUGCAAAACCCUGGGUUUGAUCUUCAGCACCAAAAAAAAAAAAAGAGGGGACACUGCUACAUGCUGCUGUUUCCCAAAUGAAAGUACUGUUGUAAAAUGCUACUAUGUAGAACAAUAAGAAUGGUGUUAAACCGUAACAUUAUAAUCCAGUGAACACAUCACGGUCUUUUAUUCUCACAUUAAAAUUUACCUUAAAUUUGGAAAUUCAAAGUAACAGCCUUUUCACUAUCAGUCUUGAAUUUAGAAAUUCAAAGUAUCAGCCUUGUGGAAAAUGUAAAGUUGCGCAGAUUGGCUCCUAGUCCCAGCCUGAUUGUCCAGUGCACCAUCUGGCACCCAAGAUGUCCAGUUCCUAACUGAUGAAAAAUUAUAAAGCCCCCGAGUUGAACUCCUGAAUCUUCCACUGUUCUCCUGGAAAGAAGAGUAGCUUCUCUCUGACUCCCUGACUUGAAAGCAGCUCAUUUUGUUUUUGUUGCUUUAUAUAAAAAUCUUUCCCUGUGCUUUAUGAAUUUAAAACUUUACCCAGGCUUCCUUACAUUUCCCUCUUGCCACAUUCAGGAGAAUUUCAAUGCUAAGAGGACUGGGCAGCAGGAGCCAGAGCUUCUUUGCAGGAGCACUCGGCCUUCUGCUUUCCAGUUGGUAUUUUCUCUUUUCAACACAUCAUGGGGAUGCUUUGUUUUGAUUUGGGGCUUCCUCAGUAAGGUCAUUCCAUGCCUGUGUCUCUUGUAGGGCCUCGGUCUAUGGCCUGCUAUUUUUGUUGGCAAACAGAGACUCAGAAAUUCUUUCAUUAUCUGUCACCCCUUAGAAACUGGAGCACUGAACCAGGAGCCAAUGAAUGACAUUCAAAGCUGUGAUUACAUUUUUUUUUCCUUAUUUCAAAUAACAUUCUUAUUUUUAAAAAACAGUAAGUGUAGAAUUUUCUGAGCUGUGCUGCCACAGACUGAAUCUUAAUAUCUGUUCUUUUAUUUCAAUUUGAUUUAUGCAUGUACACUAGAGACAAAAUUUCUUAAAUAAAUCUUCCAAAUGACAACAGCAUGAAUGUCAGUUGAGCUCUUGAAUAAUUCCUUGUUGUCCUUACCUGUUCCCACCACUGGUUAUUAAGAGGUCAAGAAUGAUAGGAAGCUUUAUCUGUGAUAGAAUUACUACUUAAAAGACGAAGAAUCUAAACAGUGGGAGAGUUUGACAUCUGAAUGCAGAGUACUCCUGAUUGAGUCUUUAGCCACUAUGGAAACAGACAGCAGACCUGAGCUGCAGGAGAAAGCAUCAUUACUGAAGAAAACACUUGAAAAUCUGUAAUAAAUUAGAAGAGGAUGAAGCAAACAAGUACGAUGGUCACUGGGGGUUGAAAUGGUGAUAUUCUUUAAAAAAACCAAGUGGGGAAAAGUAAAGAUUAAUCUGUAACAUGCAUCAUUCCUUAGCUGAAAUUAAAAAAAAAAAGCCUUAGGAAAAAAAAAGAGGUCAAGAGAGAUUAAAUGGGAAGAGGUGAAGGAACAUAAUUUUUCCUUUCUUCCACAUAGCAGCCAAACAGGAGGAAGCCACCAGUGCCAGGUGAUAAUCUUUCUGUCAUGUUUCUGUAACAUUUUUCACCUUGAGAGACAAAAUAAAUGGGAAUGGGAAUGGGAGUGCACAUACAAGCAUUUUAUAAUUUAUAUCUGUGUCCUCACUCCUCAAACUUCCAUAAGCUCCCUGAGACCACAUGUAGGUCACCCACAAUACCAACACAUGUGCUUUGUUGGUUGAAUAAAACCAAAAGUACAUUACCUGACAUUAACCAGGGCUAAUAUCUGAAGUUUAACUCACUUUGAGCCCAAGUAAAAGCAGUCAUUUAAAGCAGUAACCCUUUAGAGCUUCUUCAUUCUGGAGCUAUUUCAUGUAAGAGAUCCUGUUAAACUAGUUUUUCACACCCCUACUACCCUAACUCAGGAUGCAACAGAGGCUCUGCAUUCCUGCUGGCAAACAUCAGCCCUAUGAACAGUAUACUGUGUGUCGCUACUGUGAGUCUGUAAAAUUGUUAAUGGACAGUAUAAACAAUUGAAUCCAAUUUAUUUAAAAAUAGUGCAUGUAAUAUGUAACUACUGCCCUGAAAUAACUAUCAUAUAAACAUACUUCCAAUAAAACUUUUCUGCAUGGUCUAACAUAAAGUAUAUUGCAUUACUCUUUAAAAAUAAUUUACUGUAGAUUAAACUCAUUAAAAUGAAUAAUUUAAAAGUAUGUGCAUUUCCGUAAGACUUUCGUUGGAUAAACUUAUUAGAAGAAAAAUUUCAGGAACAAAGAAGCACAAUCUUUAUUAAUGCUACUAAUUUAUUAUGUGCCUAAUUUAAGCCCAUUUUUAAGCAAAAAUAGUUGUCAAGUAAAGCCACUUAAACUGAUAUAAUUAGAAAGAGCUGAGAGGGUAAAAGAGCAUUUUGAAUGUCCUAUGUAUGGCAUAUCCUGUACACUGAUUUGAGGUCUGAGUUUUGGUAUUUUUAUAUAAUUUUAUCUUAUCUUGUGCAUCAGCUGUGUAUUUUACAUCAAGGUAAAUAAGCAUCCUGUUUUAUAUGUUGAAUAAAAAAUGAC